rnacentral:misc_RNA from 1 species
GUGAGUCAUCGAAUCUUUGAACGCACAUUGCGCCCCUUGGCAUUCCGAGGGGCAUGCCCGUUCGAGCGUCAUUAUAACCCCUCAAGCCUAGCUUGGUGUUGGGGCCUGCUGUUACCAGCAGCCCUUAAAAUCAGUGGCGGUGCUAUCUGGCUCUAAGCGUAGUAAUACUUCUCGCUACAGGGUCCCGGUGGAUGCUUGCCAUCAACCCCUAAUUUUCUAUGGUUGACCUCGGAUCGGGUAGGGAUACCCGCUGAACUUAAGCAUAUCAAUAAGCGGAGGA